UGGAAUUAUAGCUCAGUUGGUAGAGCGUUGGUUUGAAGCACCGAAGGUCGCAGGUUCAAUUCCUGCUGAUUCCAU
rnacentral:tRNA from 1 species